AGUGAACGCUGGCGGUAGGCCUAACACAUGCAAGUCGAACGGCAGCACAGUAAUAGCUUGCUCUUACGGGUGGCGAGUGGCGGACGGGUGAGGAAUACAUCGGAAUCUACUUUUUUGUGGGGGAUAACGUAGGGAAACUUACGCUAAUACCGCAUACGACCUACGGGUGAAAGCAGGGGAUCUUCGGACCUUGCGCGAUUGAAUGAGCCGAUGUCGGAUUAGCUAGUUGGCGGGGUAAAGGCCCACCAAGGCGACGAUCCGUAGCUGGUCUGAGAGGAUGAUCAGCCACACUGGAACUGAGACACGGUCCAGACUCCUACGGGAGGCAGCAGUGGGGAAUAUUGGACAAUGGGGGCAAGCCUGAUCCAGCCAUACCGCGUGGGUGAAGAAGGCCUUCGGGUUGUAAAGCGCUUUUGUUGGGAAAGAAAAGCAGCAGGUUAAUACCCCGCUGUUCUGACGGUACCCAAAGAAUAAGCACCGGCUAACUUCGUG
rnacentral:rRNA from 1 species